GCGAGGGCUUCACCGCCUAUCAAGUCCAGAUAAACUCCGAAUGCGCGAUAUAUAUUUACAGGGAGUGAGGGCGCGGGUGCUAAGGUCCGUGUCCGAGAGGAGAAGAAUCCAGACCACCGGCUAAGGCCCCCAAAUGAUCGUUAAGUUGAACUAACGAGGUCGGAUCGCAGAGACAGCUAGGAUGUUGGCUUGGAAGCAGCCAUUCAUUUAAAGAGUGCGUAACAGCUCACUAGUCGAGCGAUCUGGCGUGGAUAAUAAUCGGGCAUAAACGAUCUGCCGAAGCCGUGGAUGUCGCAAGACAUGGUAGGGGAGCAUUCCAUGCCGCGUCGAAGAUGAGGGGUGACCCUUGUUGGAGCGCAUGGAAAAGCAAAUGUAGGUAUGAGUAACGAUAAGGGGGGCGAGAAACCCCCCCGCCGAAAGACCAAGGUUUCCUGAUCAACGCUAAUCGGAUCAGGGUGAGUCGGGACCUAAGGCAAAGCCGAACGGCGCCGCCGAUGGAAGAAUGGGUUAAUAUUCCCAUACUGCCUCAUGGAGUGACGUGGAGACGGAGAAGUGACAGUCCUGCCGGCUGACGGAAUAGCCGGUUGAAGGGUGUAGAUAUUGAUUCCCGUAGGCAAAUCCGCGGGGAGAGUCGAACCUGAGAGUAUACGGAGCGCUUGCGCAACGUAAUAUGGACGUAACCAUGCUCCCGAGAAAAUCCGCUAAACUUAUCCAUGCGGCACCCGUACCGUAAACGGACACACGUGGUCGGGUUGAGAAUACUGAGGCGCUCGAGUGAUUCACGGUUAAGGAACUAGGCAAAUUGACCCUGUAACUUCGGGAUAAAGGGUCCUCGUCGUAAGGCGAGGCGCAGAGAAUAGGUCCAGGCAACUGUUUAACAAAAACACAUGGCUGUGCUAAAUGGAAACAUGAUGUAUACAGCCUGACACCUGCCCGGUGCCGGAAGGUUAAGAGGAGAUGUCAUCCGCGAGGAGAAGCGUUGAAUUGAAGCCCCGGUAAACGGCGGCCGUAACUAUAACGGUCCUAAGGUAGCGAAAUUCCUUGUCGGGUAAGUUCCGACCUGCACGAAUGGUGUAAUGAUCUGGACACUGUCUCAACCGUGAGCUCGGUGAAAUUGUAGUAUCGGUGAUGAUGCCGGGUACCCGCAACGGGACGAAAAGACCCCGUGAACCUUUACUAUAGCUUUACAUUGAGUUUGGGCAGACGAUGUGUAGGAUAGGCCGGAGGCAUUGAAGCAGGUACGCCAGUAUUUGUGGAGCCGACGUUGAAAUACGGCCCUUCGGUUGUUUGAGUUCUAACUCCUAGUUAGGAGGACACUGUAUGGUGGGUAGUUUGACUGGGGUGGUCGCCUCCA
rnacentral:rRNA from 1 species